rnacentral:lncRNA from 10 species
CCAAGCCUGGAGCACGCGAAGGACCGGCCGAGGGUGGGCAGGCCCUGCCCUGUGCUCACCAGCGGCUGGGCAGUCUGGGCGGAGGAGGGCACCAGCAGGAGAGAGGUCCUACAACUCGGAGUUCGGAGUUCGGCAGAAAGGCCUCCCCGGGAGGGGCUGGGAGCUCCCCAAGCAAGGGCAGGCACUUCCCCUCCCUUUGGCCACUUGGCCCUGGAGGGCUUCUUUGGAGAUAAAUCCCACAGAAGGGGAGGGGAAAUUAUGUAACUCAGGGAAAAACGCUAUGUGGAGUCCCAUGUACUCACAAUCUCUCUGGAGGAAACCAGGCUUCACCGUCGCCAGGUGACAACGAAAUGCCCUAACCCCGGGCUGCCAGCAGCACAGGGCCAUGGAAUCCAGGGAGAAACAAGCUCUGAGCUGAGGGGUGUGUAAAAUGGAGGUUCUGAUUCGGUAGCUCCGGGGCGGGCCUGAGCUCUGCAUUUCUGAUGCUCCCAGGGAUGCUGAUGUUGCUGGUCUGGGGACCGCUCUGAGGUCAGGGCUGUGGAGGGCAGGCACCAGGCUGAGCAGCGGCACUGCUGGUGCUGAGUCAGCUCUUCCCUCAGCCCCUGAGGUCUGGAGUGCUUCCCGUUGGGAGAUUUACUAGUUUUCUUGCUUGGCUACCCGGCAUUAACAGGCAUUGGAACCGUGGGAAGCGAGUCUCCUGCCCAUCUCUGUUCAUCCCGGACAGUUGCAAUUGUGGAGGGACCCUCCAAUGACAUUGGACACUGGAGGCCCAGAGAAGGAAGUCCUCUGAAGAGAAUAAAAUAGUCCACUUAAAGCAACACCAGAAGUCUCUUGGGAUAUGUGAGGACAAUAGCUCCCUGUGUGUGCUGGAGACCUUGGACAAAGUCCCCAAGUCAUAUCCAUACCUACAAGGUGUCAGAAGAAAAGAUUACAACACAUCCCGUUUAAAGGUCUUUAUUGGCUUUGGUUUAGAGGCUAGAAUUGGGCAAUACAUCAUUCAUAAAACAAAGAGUGUUUGAUGAGCAGAGCUGAGGAAGCGGAGGGCUGAGGAUAGCAGACAGAGGACAAAAGCACAGGUAUUCAUCUGCCUGAAGAGAGUUAAAUGCUGUCCUCUGAAUCCGAGAGAUGGGUAGCUGUUAGGAUUUGCCAAAAGGAGACUAUUUAUUUAUUUGGAGACAGGGGCUCGCUCUGCCUCCUGGGCUGCAGUGCAGUGGCACAAUCACGUCUCACUGCAGCUUUGACCUCCCAGACUUAAGUGAUCCUCCCACCUCAGCCUUUCUAGUAGCUGGAACUAGAGGUGUGCACUACCAUGCUGCACUAAUUUUUUAAAUUUUUAGUAGAAACAAUGUCUUGCUAUGUUGCCCAGG